rnacentral:rRNA from 1 species
AUUGAACGCUGGCGGCAUGCCUUACACAUGCAAGUCGAACGGCAGCACGGGAGCAAUCCUGGUGGCGAGUGGCGAACGGGUGAGUAAUAUAUCGGAACGUGCCCAGUCGUGGGGGAUAACGUAGAGAAAUUUACGCUAAUACCGCAUACGAUCUAAGGAUGAAAGCGGGGGACCGUAAGGCCUCGCGCGAUUGGAGCGGCUGAUAUCAGAUUAGGUUGUUGGUGAGGUAAAGACUCACCAAGCCGACGAUCUGUAGCUGGUUUGAGAGAACGACCAGCCACACUGGGACUGAGACACGGCCCAGACUCCUACGGGAGGCAGCAGUGGGGAAUCUUGGACAAUGGGCGAAGACCUGAUCCAGCAAUGCCGCGUGCAGGAAGAAGGCCUCGGUUGUAACG